CCUACCAUGCAGUCGGGCGGUAACACAGGGAGCUUGCUCCUGGGUGACGAGCGGCGGACGGGAGAGUAAUGUCUGGGAAACUGCCUGAUGGAGGGGGAUAACUACUGGAAACGGUAGCUAAUACCGCAUAACGUCGCAAGACCAAAGAGGGGGACCUUCGGGCCUCUUGCCAUCAGAUGUGCCCAGAUGGGAUUAGCUAGUAGGUGGGGUAAUGGCUCACCUAGGCGACGAUCCCUAGCUGGUCUGAGAGGAUGACCAGCCACACUGGAACUGAGACACGGUCCAGACUCCUACGGGAGGCAGCAGUGGGGAAUAUUGCACAAUGGGCGCAAGCCUGAUGCAGCCAUGCCGCGUGUAUGAAGAAGGCCUUCGGGUUGUAAAGUACUUUCAGCGAGGAGGAAGGCAUUAAGGUUAAUAACCUUGGUGAUUGACGUUACUCGCAGAAGAAGCACCGGCUAACUCCGUGCCAGCAGCCGCGGUAAUACGGAGGGUGCAAGCGUUAAUCGGAAUUACUGGGCGUAAAGCGCACGCAGGCGGUCUGUCAAGUCGGAUGUGAAAUCCCCGGGCUCAACCUGGGAACUGCAUUCGAAACUGGCAGGCUAGAGUCUUGUAGAGGGGGGUAGAAUUCCAGGUGUAGCGGGUGAAAUGCGUAGAGAUCUGGAGGAAUACCCGGUGGCGAAGGCGGCCCCCUGGACAAAGACUGACGCUCAGGUGCGAAAGCGUGGGGAGCAAACAGGAUUAGAUACCCCUGGUAGUCCACGCCGUAAACGAUGUCGACUUGGAGGCUGUUCCCCUUGAGGAGUGGCUUCCGGAGCUACGCGUUAAGUCGACCGCCUGGGGGAGUACGGCGCGCAAGGUAAAACCUCAAAUAAAUUGACGGGGGCCCCGCACAAGCGGUGGAGCAUGUGGUUUAAUUUGAAUGCGAACGCCGAAGAAACCUUU
rnacentral:rRNA from 1 species